rnacentral:rRNA from 1 species
AAGGUUUCCGUAGGGGAACCUGCGGAAGGAUCAUUAUUGAACAAACCGGUGUGGUUGUUGCUGGUCUUUUCGGAGGCAUGUGCACACCCGCCAUUGUUUCAUCCUUCUCCACCUGUGCACUUUUGUAGACCAGCUUGUCAAACCCCUUCGGGCUGGAAACAGCUCGGUGUGAGGGUGGCUCAUCCCCACCUUUGGACAGGCAGUCAUGGUCUAUGUCUUCUCAUCAACCCGAAUGUAUGUGCAGAAUGUAAGAAUAAGGCUCAUGUAGCCUAUAAAUCUAAUACAACUUUCAACAACGGAUCUCUUGGCUCUCGCAUCGAUGAAGAACGCAGCGAAAUGCGAUAAGUAAUGUGAAUUGCAGAAUUCAGUGAAUCAUCGAAUCUUUGAACGCACCUUGCGCUCCUUGGCAUUCCGAGGAGCAUGCCUGUUUGAGUGUCAUUAAAUCCUCAACACCUCCUUCCUCUGUGGAUGGGCGGAUGUUGGAUCUUGGAGGCUGCCGUUCGUUUAACCGGCUCCUCUGAAAUGCAUUAGCAGGGGCCAUUCGUGUGCAUCUGUGGCUUGGUGUGAUAGUAUCUACGCCUUGCAACUUUGCGCUGCGACCCGCUUCCAGCCGUCCCUCCGGACAUAAUCUGACCAUUUGACCUCAAAUCA